rnacentral:lncRNA from 1 species
GGAAGUAGAAUUUUGUUAACUUUUUAUGUUUUCAUUAGAAGAUAAAUGGAAUUCCUAACAAGUAAUCACUGAUUUGUAGUCCAUAUAGCAUCUCCUCUAUCUGUCAGCUUGAGUGUGCAGAAACCAAAUCAAGGAGGAACUGAAUGGGAUCCACAAGGAAGUGCAUUACAAAACAGAACCAUAUGAUUUCUUUGAAUCAGAACAAACGGGUAAAGAAGAAGAGGAGGAGGGAGAGGGAAGAAGCUGGGAGAAAAUUGAGAUUUAAUGAAAAUACAUUGGCUAUUAGCUGAGGUGAC